rnacentral:pre_miRNA from 2 species
GAUUUUAACUGAAAAAGUCAUCAAUAACAAAGUGGUAUAACUCAUCAAGAUCUAUAACUUUUAUUUUAGUCAUUUCUUCAUCCGAGAAAGUGAUUUGUAACAUUGUUCACAAAAUGUACAUAUCUCUUAUAUAGUUAUAAACUAUAACAGAGAUAUGUAAUUUUGUGAACAAUGUUAGUAUCACUUUAUCGGAUAAAGAAAUGACCAAAAUAAAAUUUAUAGAUACUGAUGAGUUAUACAACUUUGUUAUUGAUGACUUUUCAGUUGAAAUC